UUUUGCUCUAUUUUUCCCUAACGGAGGAAAAGAAACCAACAGGGAUUGCCUCAGUAACGGCGAGUGAAGCGGCAAAAGCUCAAAUUUGAAAUCUAGCACCUUCGGUGUUCGAGUUGUAAUUUGAAGAUGGUAACCUUGGGUUUGGCUCUUGUCUAUGUUCCUUGGAACAGGACGUCAUAGAGGGUGAGAAUCCCGUCUGAUGAGAUGCCCAUUCCUAUGUAAGGUGCUAUCGAAGAGUCGAGUUGUUUGGGAAUGCAGCUCUAAGUGGGUGGUAAAUUCCAUCUAAAGCUAAAUAUUGGCGAGAGACCGAUAGCGAACAAGUACAGUGAUGGAAAGAUGAAAAGAACUUUGAAAAGAGAGUGAAAAAGUACGUGAAAUUGUUGAAAGGGAAGGGCAUUAGAUCAGACUUGGUGUUUUACGAUUAUCUUCUCUUCUUGAGUUGUGCACUCGUAUUUCACUGGGCCAGCAUCGAUUCGGAUGGCAAGAUAAUGGCAGUUGAAUGUGGCUUCACUUCGGUGGAGUGUUAUAGCUUCUGCUGAUAUUGCCUGUCUGGAUCGAGGGCUGCGUCUUUGACUAGGAUGCUGCGAAAGUCGAG
rnacentral:rRNA from 1 species